GAUGAACGCUGGCGGCGUGCCUAAUACAUGCAAGUCGAGCGAACAGACGAGGAGCUUGCUCCUCUGACGUUAGCGGCGGACGGGUGAGUAACACGUGAAUAACCUACAUAUAAGACUGGGAUAACUUAAGGAAAACGGAGAUAAUAUAGGAUAAUAUAUUGAACAGCAUGGUUCAAAAGUGAAAGACGGAUUUGAUGUCACUUAUAGAUGGAUCCGCGCCGCAUUAGCUAGUUGGUAAGGUAACGGCUUACCAAGGCAACGAUGCGUAGCCGACCUGAGAGGGUGAUCGGCCACACUGGAACUGAGACACGGUCCAGACUCCUACGGGAGGCAGCAGUAGGGAAUCUUCCGCAAUGGGCGAAAGCCUGACGGAGCAACGCCGCGUGAGUGAUGAAGGUCUUCGGAUCGUAAAACUCUGUUAUUAGGGAAGAACAAAUGUGUAAGUAACUAUGCACGUCUUGACGGUACCUAAUCAGAAAGCCACGGCUAACUACGUG
rnacentral:rRNA from 1 species